rnacentral:ncRNA from 2 species
UCUUCUUCAGGAAGCAAUGAUGUAUAGACUGUAAUUGGUCACCUAUUGUCUAUAUUGAGCUAAUGGUGAACCCUCCCUUGUAUU